AGAUUUAAGCCUGUGUCCAGUACAGCCACUACCACACCCAAAUGUUUCUGUCCUCCUCCUUUUUCUGCAGCUGUGUUCAGGGCUGGCAGAUCGACAGCGCUUUUUGGGGUUUGGUGCCACAGAUGACCAUCGAGGGAAGGAAUGAGAUCUACAUGACGACAACGUGGCGCGUUUCAAACCCGUUUUACAACAUGGCCUGAACAGCAUGCUCCGUCUCAGCAUCAGUAAGAGGCUCCAGUUCGAGGACAUCAUGGACAGGCAAAGGAGUUGGUGGUCUGGAGGACACAGAAAAUCAAUACUUGAAAAAACAGAUUCCUAAAAAAACACAGUGGUUGUAUGAAAGAGCAAAUGCACGAUGUUAGGACUUUGCUAGUAAUAAUCAAAGCUGACCUGUUCAGUGUUUCUUCUGAUUCCAGAGAAGGUUUGGGGUCGAAUCCCGGAAACAUUUCAGUCAUCAGUUGAUCCACCAUGCUGUAGUUCGAGGGAUCCAGCACAAAGGUGCGGUGCUGGUCAGACUGCAAGUGCUUCAAGAACCAAAAAAAAAAGCCCACAUUAAAUACUGAGCAAAAAAAUUCUUAUGUGUUAAUGAGAAAGAGCAAUUCUGAAAGAUUCACACCUCCUCCAGAUUAGUGAAGGGUUGAUGACAGCAUUCGCAGUAAGACAUAUCCUUUUUGCGCGGCCGCCAAGGUGAAGGGUUACCACUGAGCGGGGUUUGGGAUUUGUCCUGAGUACUGCCUUCAACUUUCUUUUCUCUAAUUAACAAAGAAUACAUCAUUAUAAAUCCACAUGAACACACUUCCACAGCAAUGAACAAACGUCUCUGCUGUUUAAUUCUUGUUUCAUGUGUUUUUACUAUCAAUCCCAUACAAAAAUAAACAUGAAUCCAUACAGUACAUCAGCACUAUAAUGGUCUAUAUAAAUCAAACAAUUAUUGGCGCGCAGCUGAACAAACCUUGGUUUACUUUCUUCUUGCUCUGCCCGUUUUUCAAACCGAGGAGGAGGAGGAGAUUCAAAGGGACUGAAUCGGCCCAAGUAGCACAGAGAGGGGAACGUCAUACACUGCAUAUGCAAAGGCUUGUAUUUUCUGGAUAUAUGGAAGAUCAACAAAAGAAUUAUAAGUAAAAUGUGUAAGAAUCAAAAUGUGAAAACAAAUGAAUAUACAUUAUUUUGAUGCUGAAAAUCUGGCUGUGGAUUUAAGUCGUUUGACUUUUAUCAUCAUGUUUGAAAUAUCUUUGAACUGAAAAUAUUUUGAGGCUCUCAUGUGAGAUUAUACAUCUGACAUCGCCUCCAGCUAGGUCUCCAGAUGUCACGGGUUCAGUAUCUCAAAGCAAUGGCCUAUACAUUAGCCAGAGCACUUCAAUUAACUGAAAUGAGAAGGCAAAUGAUAAGACCUGUUCGCACACAGUGGUCCCCUGCAGGAACAGGCAGUGGAGCUUGCAAAGCCUCAUCAAAUAGAAAUUGUAUCCUCUUGGGUUCUGGGCUCCUGGGGAGCAGCUUCACUGAGGGGGCUUGUCACAUUACAUGAUGGGACUUAACAAGUUCAAUUAAGAAAAUCAUCCCGGGGCUGAAAUGCACACCUGCACACCUACAGCACUAGCGCCCAGUGGGGUAGGAAGGGCAGAAACAGUGGGACAGAUCACUGCCAUCCAUUCACUGUCAUUAUGCUCGACCUGCAAAAAGGAUCUAAUCUGAUACUGAAGAACCAUUACAUGAACCUGUGCAGGCCAAAAAGCAUCCCCUUUGCCUUGCUGAAUUCUAGCUCCUCUCUCUUGAUUGACUGGAAUUUAAAAUGGAGGAUUGAGGUAGAGGACUGGGCUGCCUUGGUAAUGUGAGAAAGUUUUGAGGGAUUCCUGAGGGUCAGAGAAACUUUCUCCUCCUUAAGUGUACUGUUACUCUUAGAUUCAAAGCCAAUUUGUCUGUUAGAGAGAAAACAAAUAAUCAAUAAACAUAAACUGCACUGAGUGACACUCACCUGCUCAAGUCUUCAAUUUUAAGAUAUGGAGAUCUCAGAGCUGCAGCUGUAAACAAGAGACGUGAGGAGAAACCACAGAAUAAGUGUAUAAUCAAAGAAAAGAGUGAGUAUUGAGGAGAAAUACACAUAACUGAGGCACAUAAACUAACCUUUGACAGCAGGCAAACCUUGCUUACUGUUAGUCUUUUGUAAAAAGAAAAAAAAAGCAAAACAUCAGUAUUUAAUAAAAAUCAACAUACAUUUGCAAUGUUUUGCAAUUUCAAAUAUUUUUGUAUUGUCUUGAAUCAUUGCCUCUCAUCAGUCAUUUUUCUAAUAAAAUCAUUAUGUGUAAAUGUU